AUCAGCCUUGCGGAGAGGCGUGUGGUGGCCAAGUGGCCUGGGGCAAGCAGCUGUGCCUCUGAGCCUCGGUUUCCCCACGGUUGCUAAAGGGCCAACAGCACCCUCUUCAGAGGGCUCUUGUGAAGUUCUGAGAGUGCGUUGAAACACUUGGCAGGAUGAGACCUCAGACUUUCCCACUGUGACCUUGAGCAGAUUCCCUGUCUUCUCCAAGCCUGGGUCUCCUCAUUGAACAAGAAAUCACCACCUCCCCCUUCUAAAUGGGGACUUAUGAGGUUUGUAGACGUGAGGCGGGAACUGCAAACCUGAGUCCGAUUUGGGGAGAGGAGGCAGGUACCAACCAGAGGACACCAGCCAGAGGACCUGCUCCCAGGCCUGCAGAAGGGCGGUUGGACAGGGAGGGGGUACAGGACAGGCUGUGAGGCCUGCCAGCCUGAGAGGGAUAGAAAGGAAGAGACCCUCUCAUCAAGGAGAUGAGCGUGGCCAGAGAUGCCGGGUGACAACAUUCAGGGUUACUGCUGUCCGACUGGCUAGAAUCCAUUGCCCUUCAUUCCUACACUCAGCCCUGCUCCGGGCACAGAGCAUCCUCCCAGCCACCCUCAUAAGUGAGAGCUAUUGUUAUCCUUGUUUCACGGAUGACAAAAUUGACUCCCAAAGAUGAGGCGACUGAAGCUCAGAGAGGUUAAGUCCCUCAGCCAAGAUCACACAGCAGCUGACGGAGCCAGAAUGCGAACUGGAGUCUCCCACUGCUGGAGCGCGUCUUCCUUUCUUCCUCGCCUCUGUCCUCCUGCUUGGCCAGCGCUGGGCCUGAGCCCAGCACUACGAAGCUGGCCUGUGGCAGGAGCUCAGCACACGUGGGCUGAAUGUUGAAUAUGCUUUGUCUCAUGGGGCCCUGGGGACCGGCUGACCGGG
ensembl:lncRNA